rnacentral:rRNA from 1 species
CAGGAUGAACGCUAGCGACAGGCUUAACACAUGCAAGUCGAGGGGCAGCGGGGGAGUAGCAAUGCUCCCGCCGGCGACCGGCGCACGGGUGAGUAACACGUAUGAAACCUGCCCGUAGCAGGGGGGGAUAAGCGGAAGAAAUUCCGUCUAAUACCGCGUAACAACCCUUGGAGGCAUCUCCUCGGGUUUAAAGGAAGCGAUUCCGGCUACGGAUGGUCAUGCGUCGCAUUAGCUGGUUGGCGGGGUAACGGCCCACCAAGGCGACGAUGCGUAGGGGUUCUGAGAGGAAGGUCCCCCACACUGGUACUGAGACACGGACCAGACUCCUACGGGAGGCAGCAGUGAGGAAUAUUGGUCAAUGGCCGCAGGGCUGAACCAGCCAAGUCGCGUGAGGGAUGACGGUCCUAUGGAUUGUAAACCUCUUUUGUCAGGGAGCAAAGGGCGCCACGUGUGGCGCUUUGCGAGUACCUGAAGAAAAAGCAUCGGCUAACUCCGUGCCAGCAGCCGCGGUAAUACGGAGGAUGCGAGCGUUAUCCGGAUUUAUUGGGUUUAAAGGGUGCGCAGGCGGAAUGUCAAGUCAGCGGUAAAAUUUCGGGGCUCAACCCCGUCGUGCCGUUGAAACUGGCGUUCUUGAGUGAGCGAGAAGUAUGCGGAAUGCGUGGUGUAGCGGUGAAAUGCAUAGAUAUCACGCAGAACUCCGAUUGCGAAGGCAGCAUACCGGCGCUCAACUGACGCUCAUGCACGAAAGCGUGGGUAUCGAACAGGAUUAGAUACCCUGGUAGUCCACGCAGUAAACGAUGAAUAC